CACGUAGGGUGCGAGCGUUGUCCGGAAUUAUUGGGCGUAAAGAGCUCGUAGGCGGUGUGUCGCGUCGGCCGUGAAAACCUGCAGCUUAACUGUGGGCUUGCGGUCGAUACGGGCAUCACUGGAGUUCGGCAGGGGAGACUGGAAUUCCUGGUGUAGCGGUGAAAUGCGCAGAUAUCAGGAGGGAACACCGGUGGGCGAAGGCGG
rnacentral:rRNA from 1 species